rnacentral:rRNA from 1 species
GAUGAACGCUGGCGGCGUGCCUAAUACAUGCAAGUCGAGCGAACAGACGAGGAGCUUGCUCCUCUGACGUUAGCGGCGGACGGGUGAGUAACACGUGGAUAACCUACCUAUAAGACUGGGAUAACUUCGGGAAACCGGAGCUAAUACCGGAUAAUAUAUUGAACCGCAUGGUUCAAUAGUGAAAGACGGUUUUGCUGUCACUUAUAGAUGGAUCCGCGCCGCAUUAGCUAGUUGGUAAGGUAACGGCUUACCAAGGCAACGAUGCGUAGCCGACCUGAGAGGGUGAUCGGCCACACUGGAACUGAGACACGGUCCAGACUCCUACGGGAGGCAGCAGUAGGGAAUCUGCCGCAAUGGGCGAGAGCCUGACGGAGCAACGCCGCGUGAGUGAUGGAGGUCUUCGGAUCGUAAAACUCUGUUAUUAGGGAAGAACAAAUGUGUAAGUAACUAUGCACGUCUUGACGGUACCUGAUCAGAAAGCCACGGCUAACUACGUG